rnacentral:rRNA from 1 species
GGUGAGUAACACGUGGAUAACCUACCUAUAAGACUGGGAUAACUUCGGGAAACCGGAGCUAAUACCGGAUAACAUGUUGAACCGCAUGGUUCAACAGUGAAAGACGGUCUUGCUGUCACUUAUAGAUGGAUCCGCGCCGCAUUAGCUAGUUGGUAAGGUAACGGCUUACCAAGGCAGUGAUACGUAGCCGACUUGAGAGGGUGAUCGGCCACACUGGGACUGAGACACGGCCCAG